UGUCUGGGCGCGGAGCGGGGACCCGCCGCUCCCGGAGCGGGCGAGGCCCGAGGGCCGCGUUCAGGAGCCAUCCCGCAGGCAUGCGGGGCUCAGCUCCCAGCCCGAUUCCCCGGGCCUGCCCUCGCAGCCUCUCCCUCGCGCGUUUCGCUCUUUCUGCUUUCAAUAAUUCACAACGACGGAACCGAGACGGCAGCAGAGGGGCGGAAAGCGAAAGCAGCCCCGACCCGAAAUAGAACAGCUGCCAGCCAUUUUAGAUGAGUUUGAAACCUCCCGCAGCCCGCGGCUACGGGCCCCGGUGACCAAUUCCAGGAACGCUUCUUUCCCUUCUCCGGGUUCGAGGGACGCUCCCCGGCUCCGGGCACAGGGUUCCGCCUCCUGCAGGGACGGCACCGGGCACCAGCGCGGCCGCUUUUCUACCGCGGAGGCAACGGGUGCACGGGGGCUGCCGUGUUACACCGAGGCACCGGCUCGUUCCUCUCACCAAUUUCACUUCUCCUUGCACUAAGCCUAGGCAGCAGUUUUGAGAAAAAGGGCUCGGUUAACCCUCGUACUUCCCCGUUGCCCAAAUAGCAGCAAGGAAGCUGCUCGUUCCUCCAUGUUGGUGAACAGCCCAGCUAAGGGAUUUCUUCUCACAGAAGCAGGAAGGAGAUGCUGGGGAGAACAAUUUGGGACGUGCCCCGUCUUGCUCCGAGCGGCAGAGCCCUGCUGCCUGCAAGGCACAAGUGGCCGGCCCAGCUCCCCGCGGCUCAGGGCAUCCCCGAGCCGUGCAGGAGCUGCAGAGAGCCGAGCUGAGACACGAGACGCGGUCGUGAUUGAUACGUCCCUUUGUGCUGCUGUUGCUGCCAGCACCAGCACUUUGCAGGGCAGCCGGCACUGCGGGAGCAAACCCUGCAGGGCAGCUCAGCUCCGUGCCCUGCUCCUUCUGGGGCUGCUUUCCCCCCCAGGCAGCCCUAGAGCAGAGGGGUGCCCCUGUACAGCUGCCUGAGCUGCCUUUGUGACCAAGCAGGAGAGGGAGAAUGCUUUCCUCCUCCUAUGUCCAUGCACGAAAGGCAACGUGGGACUUCGCCAUCGCAGUGGUCGCUUCCAGUCAGCCCGUCUCUUCAAAUAGGGUUUAGCAAUUUGAAAUGAAGUAAUUCUUUAAGUUAAAGCAGCAACUUUUUACUGAAGCGUCCAGUCCUCCUCCUCUGAAGGUUUCCAGUGCACAGAUGCUUUGCCUCCCUGCAGCAGUCCUCACAUCACCCAUCCUUCACACAGCUACAGCGCUGCCACACAGAGCUCUGUCUACACUGUCCCCCCCUCCUCCAGCUUUUUAUUCAGGUGACCAAGGAAGGAGGACACGCACACCAGCAUUAGGAGCCCUCUGAAUGAGAGAACCUUGAGCUGUGAAGCUCAUGUUCUCAAGCAAGAUCGAGCCUGUCACAUCACUUUCAUGAGACCCACACCAUCACCAGCACACUGCCCACGUGGGGGGUAAAAUAUUCCCCCAUUCAGGGAUCAGUACUGAAUUAUUUUAACAGAGGAACAAUGGUCUUCAAUGAAGGACUACCUGAGGGCACGGCUCCUGAUGCAGUGGUCCAGUCCGGGGCACGAUGACUAUUCUGAGGUCAAAGACCUUUCUCUAGAGCUGCCACCUCCUUCCUUCCUUCCCAUCUCACUUAUGCUUUCUGGGUCUACAAGAUGCAACGAGAAAGGAUCAUAGUUCAGGUUUUACCACCACUGAACACUGAUGCGAACAGAUCUGCUCAGAUACGAAACUGAACAGGAGAGAAACUGCACGACCGCAGCCCAAGUCUACAAAACCAGAUCCAAAGGCCACCCCUCCCAGCAGCUCAGUCCCAGGCACGCUGUCCCAUGCAGCGUGAGCACAGCCGAGCAGACCCUCGCAGUCAGCCCUGCUGCUAAGCCAGGGGAGCUGCCAAGGUCCCUUCCAAACCACGUCACCACCUCGCUCAGGAGACGCGCACCGUUGUUGUGGGGGUUCCUAAAAGCACUCAGAGGCAGAAGCCACGUGUGUUUGUUCGGUUUUUUUGUUUUUUAAAUAAAAGUUUAAUUCCUUCAUCAGGUCACAUAUUUUAAACACAAAUGCUGCUGAAUAUCCUCACGCUGCUGCUCUUCGUCCUGGCUCUCGAGGCGUUGGCAGCGCGGCAGCAGGGGCUCCGAAGCGGGAGGCAGGAAUGGGGCUCGGCACAGCUCAGUGCAGGAUGCAAAGCAAAGAAGCAAGGGACGCAUUUUCCAGACAAACACCAGUUCUCAUACAAAAAAAAAAA